rnacentral:rRNA from 1 species
AUUGAACGCUGGCGGCAGGCCUAACACAUGCAAGUCGAACGAGUGGCGGACGGGUGAGUAAUGUCUGGGAAACUGCCCGAUGGAGGGGGAUAACUACUGGAAACGGUAGCUAAUACCGCAUACCAUCGGAUGUGCCCAGAUGGGAUUAGCUAGUCGGUGGGGUAACGGCUCACCUAGGCGACGAUCCCUAGCUGGUCGGAGAGGCUAACCAGCAACACUGGAAUGUAGACACGGUCCAGACUCCUAAGGGAGGCAGCAGUGGGGAAUAUGGCACAAUGGGCGCAAGCCUGAUGCAGCCAUGCCGCGUGUAGGAAGAAGGCCUUCGGGUUGUAAAGUACUUUCAGCGAGGAGGCGUUACUCGCAGAAGAAGCACCGGCUAACUCCGGGCCAGCAGCCGCGGUAAUAC